rnacentral:miRNA from 1 species
GAUUGCACUAGUUAAUUAUC